rnacentral:lncRNA from 1 species
AACUGUAUCUCAUUGUUUUGCUUCACACAACCUUGCCAGCCAACUCCCAAUUCCCCUCAGCCUUUUCUUAAGCAGAAAUCAUAUAUACAUAAUUAACUAUUGCAUCACAUAGGGUUAAAAUGAACCCAUUGUGUAUUGGCCCUUCAACAAUCCUGCUUUUCCUCUGAAAAUGGUUCGUUCCUUAAGGCUGGCUUAGAGGGAGGAAAACCUCUCACAUCAUAUUUUUCUUGCUUUCCAGGCUGAUCUGGAAGGUGACGAUAGGUCGUGAGCCAUAGCCUCUGCAAGGAUGUUACAACCCUAGAGCCCAGGGGAAGGUGCAGAUGUGUUUGGAAUGUAACAAAAGGGAACAAUUGCCAGUGUGCAUUGCACAGGACCCUGAGGGUUUUGGUUUUUUUCUAAACUCUUUAUUCAAACAUAGAGCACACACAGUCCUGUUAGCUACUCAGAUAUUUUCUGCUAUUUCUGCUAAAGUGAAUUAAAACAGAGGGCUAAGUAGUCAAGGAUUACCCCCUCCUCUCCCCUCCUAGCUUAGUGGUUAAGAGCUGUGGUACUGCCUAACUCAUUUCCUAACGGCCUCCUGGUUUUCUCCAUACCUCCCAGGAAAGCAAUGCAUGUUCCUAUCUCACACAGCUCUGCAGAGUAAAGAAAACCCUUGCCUUCUUGGGUUGUCACCGAGAAUGGGAACAUCAAUGGAGUCCCAGGGGUUUCCUCCCAGCUCCGCUUUAGAGAACCUUAGCAAGCAGAGGUCCAGUUCUCUCUAGGAUGAACUGAAGGGAUCAUAAAGGCACAGAAGCCUGGUUUCCUUGCCCUUCUGGUGGCUGGAACAUCACACCAUGACACUCACCUCAUCGUUAGGAAAUCUACAUUCCAAGGUCAGUAUGACAUUCCUGAAGAUCAACAAGCGAAGAGAUGGUACAGCAGCUUGUGUUAGGGGAAGCACUGUUGGUUACCACACGCAGAACAGGCUAAUGUGUCUCCCAAGGAUUUUGGCUUCAGACACCAUCGAUGUGAACUCUCUUGGUGUGUGAAUCACCUGAGCGCUGGAUGGCUGCCUCAUGGGAAUGAUGGUUGCAUCAAGCAUUCUAGCUUCACCUUCAGUACUGCCACAAGACAGUCUGUCAACAAAGGCUGUUGACCUCAAUAUUGGAUAAGCAGUGUUUGAGAAAAAUAAACUCUGCAUGGACAAAAUGCUUUGAGCUUCU